AUUCAUGCACCGCACUCAUAUUUCAUGUUCGAGAGUGGAAACUGCUCCUUUGGCUGGUCUUGGAACAUAUUCUAACAAAAAUGUUCCUACAUUGUAUGAGGUUAUAUAUGCUGGGCUGCUGGCAACCUUUCAGGCCUCAUUGGAAUCUAUUCAGAAUUAACUAGCAGAUGAGUUGUCAAAACUGACAGAACAAGUAACUUCUGACAAUCGGAGUAUUGCAUCUUUAUCUAUAUGUAUGCACAUUGGGUUGAAAUUCUAUGCAGUGUCAAAAGGUGUUGCUAACACAGCUGAGAGACGAUUCAGGCAUGUGAAGCUCCAUAGCAACCCUAAAAACCCAUAUAGCGGAAGCAUCACAAUGUUGUUGGCAGGUUUCAUCCAUCAAAACUGUACACAGUUUACAAGAUUACAUUUUCAUUACAAGAUGCUUGAUUACAACCAAUAUUUUCAUUUCUUUGGUGCUUGUGUAGAAGUAUCGCCUUGCAAAGUAUAUACCAAACUCUCAUGCUGAAGGUUUCAAGGACGACAAGAAAGUUCGAGUGAUUCCCUCUCGAACAUGGAUUAUGUACCAGGAUUGCAAAUCAAUGAGGCACUAAAGAUGCAAAUGGAAGUUCAGAAGCGGCUACACGAGCAACUGGAGAAAUUCUUUAUUUAUGCUAAUGAUGAAGAUGCUGUAGAAGAUGGAGAUCAGGAUGCUGAAUUGCUGAUACUUCGGUUUGAAAAAG